GACGAACGCUGGCGGCGUGCUUAACACAUGCAAGUCGAACGGAAAGGCCCGGCUUUUGUGGGGUGCUCGAGUGGCGAACGGGGGAGUAACACGUGAGUAACCUGCCCUUGACUUUGGGAUAACUUCAGGAAACUGGGGCUAAUACCGGAUAGGAUCUCCUGCUGCAUGGUGGGGGUUGGAAAGAUUCGGCGGUUGGGGAUGGACUCGCGGCGUAUCGGCUUGUUGGUGGGGUGGUGGCUUACCAAGGUUAUGAGGCGUAGCUUGCCUGAGAGGGGGAGCGGCCACAUCGGGACUGAGAUACGGCCCAGACUCCAACGGGAGGCAACGGUGGAGAAGAGUGCACAGUGGGCGGGAGGCUGAUGCAGCAACGCCGCGUGGGGGAUGACGGCCUUGGGGUUGUAAACCGCUUUCGCCUGUGACGAAGCGUGAGUGACGGUAAUGGGUAAAGAAGCACCGGCUAACUACGUG
rnacentral:rRNA from 1 species